GGGUUGCUACAAAGGGAGACAGUGAGAGAAAUGAAUGACGUAUGGAGGAUUUUCUCAUGGAUAUGCUGACGACGUGACGAUUUUGCCCAUAGCAAAAGUGCAGAUUUACCGCAGUGGCACUAACUGACCACAGGAGGCAGCAGUAGACCAGCAGGUCCCGCAUUCCCAUGAGCUAAAAACACUGUUUUUUUCUCUAUGGACUUUGGUGCAGCAGCAAAUGUUGGAAUUAAAAACCUGGCAGUGAUGAACGCCGCGUCUCUGUGCCAGAGAGCGGCCGGGGUUCUUGGAAAACGCCCGGGGAGGCUGGGGAAGCUGCCAUC